rfam:Clostridium symbiosum WAL-14163 genomic scaffold supercont1.7, whole genome shotgun sequence.
AUAUGCAAUGCGCUGAAUGCUGGUAACAGCAACGGGAGAACCAUUAUUUGGGGUGUAAUUGCGGCUGGGCCGCAUGCGGGAACUUCCUUUCCCUAACCCGACAGCUAAUCUCGUAAGCGGAGGAAGGCUCA